AGAGUUUGAUCCUGGCUCAGGACGAACGCUGGCGGCGUGCCUAAUACAUGCAAGUUGAACGCAACAUAAACACCAGAGCUUGCUCUACCGUUUAUGUUGAGUAGCGAACGGGUGAGUAACGCGUGGGUAACCUGCCUUAUAGCGGGGGAUAACUAUUGGAAACGAUAGCUAAUACCGCAUAACAAUGUUAGAUGCAUAUUUAACAUUUGAAAGUACCAAUUGGUACACUAUGAGAUGGACCCGCGUUGUAUUAGCUAGUUGGUAGUGUAAUGGACUACCAAGGCGAUGAUACAUAGCCGACCUGAGAGGGUGAUCGGCCACAUUGGGACUGAGACACGGCCCAAACUCCUACGGGAGGCAGCAGUAGGGAAUCUUCGGCAAUGGACGAAAGUCUGACCGAGCAACGCCGCGUGAGUGAAGAAGGUUUUCGGAUCGUAAAACUCUGUUGUUAGAGAAGAACGUUGAUUAGAGUGGAAAAUUAAUCAAGUGACGGUAUCUAACCAGAAAGGGACGGCUAACUACGUGCCAGCAGCCGCGGUAAUACGUAGGUCCCGAGCGUUGUCCGGAUUUAUUGGGCGUAAAGCGAGCGCAGGUGGUUUAAUAAGUCUGAUGUAAAAGGCAGUGGCUCAACCAUUGUGUGCAUUGGAAACUGUUAGACUUGAGUGCAGUAGAGGAGAGUGGAAUUCCAUGUGUAGCGGUGAAAUGCGUAGAUAUAUGGAGGAACACCGGUGGCGAAAGCGGCUCUCUGGACUGUCACUGACACUGAGGCUCGAAAGCGUGGGUAGCAAACAGGAUUAGAUACCCUGGUAGUCCACGCCGUAAACGAUGAGUGCUAGUUGUUUGGGGCUAUCCAGCCCUAAGUGACGCAGCAAACGCAUU
rnacentral:rRNA from 1 species